rnacentral:rRNA from 1 species
CCUACGUGAGGCAGCAGUGGGGAAUAUUGGACAAUGGGCGAAAGCCUGAUCCAGCAAUGCCGCGUGAGUGAUGAAGGCCUUAGGGUUGUAAAGCUCUUUUACCCGGGAUGAUAAUGACAGUGCCGGGAGAAUAAGCUCCGGCUAACUCCGUGCCAGCAGCCGCGGUAAUACGGAGGGAGCUAGCGUUAUUCGGAAUUACUGGGCGUAAAGGGAGCGUAGGCGGACAUUUAAGUCAGGGGUGAAAUCCCAGAGCUCAACUCUGGAACUGCCUUUGAUACUGGGUGUCUUGAGUGUGAUAGAGGUAUGUGGAACUCCGAGUGUAGAGGUGAAAUUCGUAGAUAUUCGGAAGAACACCAGUGGCGAAGGCGACAUACUGGAUCAUUACUGACGCUGAGGCUCGAAAGCGUGGGGAGCAAACAGGAUUAGAUACCCUGGUAGUCCACGCCGUAAACGAUGAUUGNUAGUGUCGGUUGUUACUACUCGUGCGCNGACUACGACAUAAGUACACUACCGCCGUCGGGAGGUACGGUCGGCGAGUAAGUUAAACUAACGUUAAAGAAGUUAGUUACGGCGUGAGACGUUGCCGACGGACGACGACGAGGGGAGGAGG